rnacentral:rRNA from 1 species
AUUGAACGCUGGCGGCAUGCUUUACACAUGCAAGUCGAACGGUAACAGGCCUUCGGGUGCUGACGAGUGGCGAACGGGUGAGUAAUGCAUCGGAACAUACCCAGUCGUGGGGGAUAACGUAGCGAAAGUUACGCUAAUACCGCAUACGUCCUGAGGGAGAAAGCGGGGGAUCGCAAGACCUCGCGCGAUUGGAGUGGCCGAUGUCAGAUUAGCUAGUUGGUGGGUAAAGGCCCACCAAGGCGACGAUCUGUAGCGGGUCUGAGAGGGAUGAUCCGCCACACUGGGACUGAGACACGGCCCAGACUCCUACGGGAGGCAGCAGUGGGGAAUUUUGGACAAUGGGGGAAACCCUGAUCCAGCCAUGCCGCGUGCGGGAGAA